UACGUAGGUGGCGAGCGUUGUCCGGAUUUACUGGGCGUAAAGCGCGCGCAGGCGGUUCGUUAAGUCCGGUGUGAAAGCUCCCGGCUCAACUGGGAGAGGUCAUUGGAUACUGGCGGACUUGAGGGAUGCAGAGGAAGGUGGAAUUCCCGGUGUAGUGGUGAAAUGCGUAGAGAUCGGGAGGAACACCAGUGGCGAAGGCGCCUUCUGGCCUUCGUACUGACGCUGAGUGCGAAAGCGUGGGGAGCACACGGG
rnacentral:rRNA from 1 species